AGCGGCGCCCUGGCAACCGGCGGGAGGAGAGAGACUUAGGGGUGGGGUCCGAUGGGACGUCAAGUCUCCUGCGGCUGCCAGGCCCCGGAAGCGUGCGGGAAGGGAACUAUGGCUGGGCUACGAGGGGACGGGUCCUUGGCACUGUGAUGCCGGUGUGAGGCCACUGGAUCUUGUUAUGCCAUUGUUUGCUGGAUUAAAGAACCCUGCCCUCUGCUAUCAGAAAUCUGCUCCCAAUGCAAAGACCAAAGCCUUCCUUCUAUCUCACAAGAGGAAUGAGCCAAACCUGGUGGAAACUCUUGAAUUAUUUGCAUUUCCAGCAUCUCCUAGAAAGGCAAAACAAGGCUGAUGAGCUGGCAGAACAGUGUAAUAACUUGUUGACCAAAACAGAUAAUAUCUUGGUCCCAGUUUGCCAAGCAUGAGACAACAGGUUGAUCCAACAGUGCUAGACACAGAAAAUCUCAAUUGCUAGUAAAAAAUCAUUGAGAGAUUAGACACAACCAGACUUCAAGACCAUGCAACAUCUGCCAACAUCCUGGAUUCAUUGCAAUUAGGCUUCAGACUAGGAUACAGUCCUAAUAGCACUAAAUGAUUAUCUAUGACAAUGAAUAUAGGGAGAGAUUUUCAAAGGCACAAAUGGUGAUUGGGGGUCAGAUUUGCAAAGGUGUUUAGGCACCUAACAUUGCAGACAGGCAUCUAGUGGGAUUUACUGGAGUGAAUAGUCAUAUUAGGCAACCAACCUCAGUAUUCUAAAUCCUACUAGAUGCCUGUCUGCAUCAUUAGGUGCCUAAAUAUCUUUUUAAAUCUGGCCUUAGGUGGCCUGACUUCAAAUGACUUUCAAUACGAGUUAGGGAUCUAACUUUUAUUUGUGCCUUUGAAACUCUCCUCCAGAGACCAUAGGUCAACAUUCAUAUUACUCAAUCUUUAAUGCAUCUUUCAGGACAGUUGAUCAUAAGGUGCUGGUGACCACCAUGCAUGGUGGCAGACAAUACAGAAUUACAUAUUCUCAAACAGGACCCAGAGUGGUAAUGCUAAAACCCUCACCUCAUGAGGCUCACAAGUAUCUCUCCUCUCCUCUCCCCUCAAGGAUUUAUCCUCUCUUCCCACCCAAUAUCUACGUAAGAGCUGAAGAGGCAAAACAUCAUGUGUUUCAUUACGAGCAAUAUGAUGGUGACAUUAGUUGUAUGUCACUUUCCAUAGAAGAAGCCAAUGCUAUGACUAGGAUAUCAUAACAUCUUCAAGAGAGCAGUUUCCAUUGGUCUUGCAUGAGUUUAGUUUAAGCAACAGUAGUUAGGAAAAGGGGAAAAUGUUUCAGACAACUAACCAAGAAGCUGAUCUUCCCCUUCCACAGAAAGCAUCUAACCCCUAUUCAUCAAAAUGGUACAAAGCUUCAAGUCCUGUUCAGCUCAUCACUAGAUCAAGACACCUAUGUUGUAUCAGUGGUGACAUAUGCCUUUUUCUACCUUCAGCUGGCAAGUAGAACUUCACACCUAGCUCCCAGAUGAUGAUCUGGUCAAAAUGAUCCAUAUAUUCAUCACCUCCAGACUGAAAUGCUGCAACACGCUAUGAGGCAGAUAUAGUAUGUUAAUACAGCUUUCAUUAGCAAAUGAAAUUUUUCCAGAACAGCUGUCAAGAGCUUUCAAACGUCUUUGCCAUCUAAUGCUGCCAUUCCAUCUGGGAAAGUCCAAGUUACUUUAUGUAUAACUUUGUCUGGGAAUAGUGUUCCACCAAUUACAAGCCCUGAUACCAGACAGUUCUAUCAGUCUUUCACCAUUCUGAUUUUAGAAACCAAGGUCAUGCUUGCCCAUUGCUUUAUCCAUUCUGUCAUCAUCAUCCCCAAUGUUGGCACUGAAGUCCACCAUUAUUAAGCAAAUGUCAUGCUUGGGAAUAUUUUCAGAGUUUGUUGGCAACUGUAGAAAUGAUCACAGAUCUUAUUGUAGUUGUCUGUUGGUGCAUAACACUGUAUAAUUGUCAUACUCGUAUCAUGUUUGAAACAAUCUGUUGUUAAUCAGCUCCCACUGUCUAUGUGAUUUUUUUCUUUGAAAGUCAUAGUUAAUGCUAUUCCUCAGCACUAACCAUUUUGCCUUCCCAAUUACACUGACCUUUUUUUAAAAAAUGCUUUUUAUCAGCUCUUGGCCAUUGACAUUAAUGUACUUCAAGAAUUUCAAAAUUGUGUGUCUCCAUUUCUUUCAUCACCUGCACAGCUUUUGUUGUUUCAUCCAUUGUUGUAAUGUUCCAGAAACCUACUUUCAGUUUAUUUUGCCUUUAGUAUAACAAAGGUUUUACCCAUGUGUUAUAAUCAGGUUUUUCCAUAGAUUCAAAUAUUUUCUCUGAUAAGGUUAAAUCUUCUGUUUUAGAUGCGACAGUGUAUGUGAAUUUCAAAAGGGAUAAUUGGAAAUGAAGUGAGAGUGCUGAAGAGGGACAAUUCAGAGCUUACCACACAGGAACAGUGGAACAGAGGUGGUUUGCAUCUCUCCUAUCCUGGGACUGCAGGUUAGGGUAGCCCAGUGGUUCUCAAUCAGGGGUAUGCAUACCCCAGGGGGCACACAGAGGUCUUCCAGGAGAUACAUCAAAUCUUCUAGAUAUUUGCCUAGUUUUACCACAGGUUACAUAAAA